ACUUGGCGAACCGGCUGACCGGGAAGACUGUCUGGCGAGUAUCUGUGCUGGGUCUUGGGAUCCUGGGACGACUUCGGCAGGGACCCAGGGGACUGUAGAGAUGGUCCCUGGACCAGGGGUGACCUGGCCACAGCUGCUGCCCUGCCAGCCCCAUCAUUCUUCUUUAGGAUUCGGAUUACAACCCCCACCGCAUAUGGCGGGUGAGCCCUUUCUGGCUACACUUCUCCGACGUCGACGCUUUGGCUCUGAACCCAUGAGCCUCAUCAUUAAACGUCGCCGUAUUUUCACGCAGUUCCUGCGAUUUUCAAACAAGUGUGUUUCCGUGCUCAGCAUGUCCGUGAAGUCAGCUGUUUCUGGAGCCCGUGACUCUGCCUCGGAUCAGUCUGCCAAAUCUACCGGCAGGUUUUGCAUGGAAGGUCCUGAAUUCCGGGGUUCCCAGAACGGGCUCCUGCCAGGCACAUCCUCUUGCAGUUAUAAUGUCAGCAGAGCUGGUUUUAAGCACUGUGGAGAGGAUGAUGGGGCUUUGGCUCAAAUGCCAGCCCCUUCCCUGGCAUGACCUCAGGC